rnacentral:rRNA from 1 species
AGUGAACGCUGGCGGUAGGCCUUACACAUGCAAGUCGAACGGUAGCACAGUAAGGGCUUGCUCUUACGGGUGGCGGGUGGCGGACGGGUGCGGAAUACAUCGGAACCUACUUUUUCGUGGGGGAUAACGUAGGGAAACUUACGCUAAUACCGCAUACGACCUACGGGUGAAAGCAGGGGAUCUUCGGAACUUGCGCGAUUGAAUGAGCCGAUGUCGGAUUAGCUAGUUGGCGGGGUAAAGGCCCACCAAGGCGACGAUCCGUAGCUGGUCUGAGAGGAUGAUCAGCCACACUGGAACUGAGACACGGUCCAGACUCCUACGGGAGGCAGCAGUGGGGAAUAUUGGACAAUGGGCGCAAGCCUGAUCCAGCCAUGCCGCGUGGGUGAAGAAGGCCUUCGGGUUGUAAAGCCCUUUUGUUGGGAAAGAAAAGCAUCAGGUUAAUACCUCGCGUUUCUGACGGUACCCAAAGAAUAAGCACCGGCUAACUUCGUG